UACGUAGGGUGCGAGCGUUGUCCGGAAUUAUUGGGCGUAAAGAGCUUGUAGGCGGUUUGUCGCGUCUGACGUGAAAAUCCGGGGCUCAACCCCGGACUUGCGGUGGGUACGGGCAGACUAGAGUGUGGUAGGGGAGACUGGAAUUCCUGGUGUAGCGGUGAAAUGCGCAGAUAUCAGGAGGAACACCGAUGGCGAGGGCAGGUCUCUGGGCCACUACUGACGCUGAGAAGCGAAAGCGUGGGGAGCGAACAGG
rnacentral:rRNA from 1 species